UUGGCGUGCCAAUCAAUGACGGCACACCCAAAUCUGCGCAGAACUGCGACUGCGAGGCACUACAUUUGGAGAUUACCUAUUUCCCUAACGCAUUUUGUUUGCGUCCAAAGUGGUGGCAAAAUGUAACAACGGUUUAUCUUUCUGCAUUUUUAUUCUGAUAAAGUAUUAAGUUAUGUACGCAUACACAUGUUUAAAGUUGUAUCUACACAUGUAAUGGCUUCGUUUAAUUGUGACAUAGAGCAAACGCAUCUCGGUUCCACCAUGGACGUAAUGGCAUCGAUGUCGGAGCCUCCCAGUAAAAGAAGUCGAACAGUGGAAGAUUUCAAUCAGUUUUGUACUUUUGUAUUGGCAUAUGCAGGGUACAUUCCCUAUCCUGAUGAGCUGAGACAGCAUGAACCAUGGCCUCGAGCCAACCUCAGUCCUCGCAACAGUACUGGCAGCACGCUCGAUAGUGACAGUUGGGAAUCAUUCCACUCCGUGGAUUUGCGUGCCUUGCACUGUGGGAAGAAAGUGAAAAUCAUCAAGCACAAAGCGCGAACAAAACAAGGGAGGUCAAACAAUUUGAUAGGAUGCCAUAGUUUUCCUACUAUGCCUUGUAUACCCAAGAAGGACAAGAAAAAUAAAAAGCUGUGCCUUAAAAGGCUGGUUUUGCAAGCAGAAAAGAAAAAAAAGUCAUCACUUUCUCACAGUUUUACCGAGUCGGGAGAGCUGGCAAAACUUCCAAGUCUCCAGUUAGAUCCCAAAGUGAGGGUACCAUCAGAACGGUUGGAGAGUACUCCCAUCAAUGUUUCUGUUGAAGCAAACUUUGGCUUGCAUUGUUACAAAAAUCCACCGGUGGACUUUCAGCCAAGGUCACUGCUGGAGGACUUUACCAAGGUAGAGCAGUCGACAAGGACAGCGUUUAACACCACCGUGGAUUUUACUGAGCAAGACUUUCCUGGUACUAUACAUAGUGAUCCGCUGGAAGAGUUACGACCAGCAGUUAAGGGUGAAAAUUUAAGUCAAAAUCCAGCUUCUCUGGAUUUGGCGCAGCCUUCAUUGAACAGCACUGGGUCAGAAGAAGAGACCUGUGUCUGACAUACAGAGCAUUAAACAGCCCAUUACCAUUUGAAAACCAGUACUUGAAAUACCACCAUCCUGGUGACCUGUGUACACAAGGAAACUGCCUCAAUAAAAAUGGCGGAUAUGAAGAGACCAGAGAAUUUCAGUGAACUAAAUGCAAACAGGUUUGGUUUACAAUUUGAAACUUCAGCCUGUGGCUCUCAAGUGUUUUUUUUUUUUUUAGAUGUACAUCUAAUGGCUAAUGCUAGAGAUGGCAUAACCAUGACAGUACAUAAAAAAUUUGGUGAUAUAAAUCAUUUUUUACAUGGUACGCAUUUUCACCCACCCCACUAGAUGAGGUCUUUGCCAUUUGGAGAAUUCGCACAUAUUAAACGGUUAUGUAAUGAUUUGAUUCUUGAAAGCGAAUAUGAAAAAAAUGGCAAGGCUUUUUAUUUCUAGGGGAUAUGAUGAGAUGGAAGUGAAAAGUUCUUUGUAAAGUAAAAAAAGAGAAUGUCGGGUAAAUUAGAUAUUCCAAUGUUAUUGUUGAGAAAGAAGAAAAGAAAAAAUAUAUAUAUGGUAACCAUGUAUGAUUUAAGUGAUAAGGUAGUUAAAAUUGUAGAAGAAAAUUGGAAAUAUUUGCUUAGAUUCAAAGAGUUUUCAGAGUUGUGUAAGGUGCCCACGUUUUCAUUUAAAAGGAGUAGGAACAUCAGACAUAUAUUGGUACAUAGUAAGUAUGUAGCCCCUGGUCAAGAUGUAUAUAAAGCACAUUUCUAAGUCACAUAUUCAUGUGGAAAAUGUAUCUCUCGUAAGUAUGUUGUUCAGACUUUUAACCACAUUAAUGGUCAUAAAUUUGAUGUACUGGGCAAUUUUAGUUGUAAUACAGAAUGUGUAGUGUAUGUUUUAUGAUGUCCCUGCAACAAGUUUUAUGUGGGAGAAAGCGAAAGGGCUUUCAAGCUCCGUUUGCAGGAGCAUGUUAGAGAGAUUAAAAACCAGAGACUUGAAAGCCCUCUAGCACAACAUUUUUUUUAGAAUUUCACAGUAGUGAUCCUACUGGUUUAUAGGGCACCAUUUUAGAAAAAAAUAGAAAAUUAUGGGAGAUUCACUGAUGUUAAAAAAAAACUUUUAUAUAAGGAAUCCCUUUUUAUUUUGAAGUAUGGGACUUUAACUCCUGCUGGAAUUAAUUGCUGGAAUUAAUGUCUUGUAAUUGGAAAGUUUUACUAUAGUGAGCUAAUAAUUGUCUAAUUAUAGAAAACUGAGGUGCUUAAUUGUUCAUUUAUAGUAUGUAAGGUGUGUUUAUUUCAGUAGUCUUUACUCCAUUGAAGGCAUUGUAUGCCGAGGCACUAGAAAAGACAUUAAAAAUUUUGGUGGUUA